rnacentral:SRP_RNA from 1 species
GCCGGGUGUGGUGGCGCACACCUGUAGUUCCAGCUACUCAGGAGGCUGAGGUGGGAGGCUCACCUGACCCCGGGAGAUCAAGGUUGCAGUGAGCCAUGAUCACGCUACUGCACACCAGCCUGGACGACAGGGUGAGACCCCAUCUCAA